UAAAGUUGUCGCAGUUAAAAAGCUCGUAGUUGAAUUUCGGGAUCAGCAGGUUGGUCUUGCCACUGGUAUGUACUAGCUUGGUGAUUCCUCCUUCUUGUAGAACCGUAAUGCCAUUAAUUUGGUGUUGCGGGGAAACAGGACUGUUACUUUGAAAAAAUUAGAGUGUUUAAAGCAGGCUAGCGCCUGAAUACAUUAGCAUGGAAUAAUGAAAUAGGACGUUCGAACCUAUUGUGUUGGUUUCUAGGAUUGACGUAAUGAUUAAUAGGG
rnacentral:rRNA from 1 species